AGCCAGCAGCGCCCGGUCGGCCGCUGGCCGCAGGAGAAAGUAAACAACACCCCAAGUGUCCGGGAACAAAGGCAAGUUGUCUUUCUACGGUGCCGCAGCCGUGUGCCUCUUCUGAAGAAUAAGAGCUAUUAUUAUUCUUUAUGUCUUAUCCUUUUUUUUUUUUAAAAAAAAAACCAAGUUUCCUUCUAAGGGAAAUAAACACCAAAGGUAGGAUUCCAAGGAAAUGACUCACAGCGGCUGGCAGGGCUCUGGCGGGGCUGGCCCGGGCCCCCGCGCUCCAGCCCGCAGCAGAUGUCGGCCCGGCCUUCCCUCCCUCCCUUGCCGGCCAAACCCGCUGGAAGCCCGCGGUUGCGGGAGCGCCCUGCGCCCGUGGGACCUGGCGGCGAGGACGCCUAUUCCCUGCUUCUGCGACCACAGCUGGGCACUCGGAAAGUUGCUAGGGCCGAAGAGGCGGGAGGGGAGGAAGGGAAGCGAGAGGCGGAGGCGUGGACCAGGCGGGCAGCAGCCUCAGCCCGCCGAGGAGUGAUCCUCCGACUGUGAAAAACCAGACCUCUGGCUGCCUGGCUCCCUAGGAAUCAAGAAGACGCACAGACUGAAAAUCAAGGGAGGAAGGAACAAGAUCAAGGAUGAGGAUUAGCAUCUGCAAAUUGAACUCUAUCUAAUUUGCAUGUUUAUUUCUUAGAAUUGUAAUUAAAUUUGUGUAAUAAAUGUUUUCCAUUUCAUUUGUACACUUAAAACUUGGGUGACUGACAUGCAGUUAAGUGAAUUUCCUUUUUUUAAAAGCAAAUGUAGAUUAUUCAAUAAAGCAGCAAACCAAUAUUAAACAUAAUUAGAACUAAUUUGUUUUGAAGGUGUUUUUGUUGAACUUUGUACAUUAAAGACUCUCAGAGGUUUUAAGGGUAUUAGGAAGCUGAGAGAUGGCAAUUAUGCUUAAAACAGAUGAACCCAACAGCCUACCAAGAGCAUUAUUUCAUUUUUUCCAAAAGACAUUCCAGGGUUGCAUGCCUAAAAUUGGGAAUUGGGCAUCCAUCUUGGCUUUAUUCUGAACCAUAUUAAAUUGCAUUGGCUCAUGCAUGAUGUGGGCCAUUAUGAUGAUAAUUUAAGAAUUGUAAAGAUGCCAUUUUGUGCAGUCAAUGGAAGUUGCAUGUCCAGGUUAAGAGUAGAGUAUAAUUUUCAUCUGGGUGGGAGAGGAGGGUUAGGAAAGGCACAAGGGCAUUUAAAGCAGUGCAAGUACGUAGAAAUCCAAAUUUCCAAAUAAUCUAAAACUGGUUAUUGUCAAACUCAAAAGAACUAAAUGUGAGGGUUUGGAGGCAUGGCUUAUUAUGGUUUUUAUCUCCCUAUAUUAAAGUUUUAUGGCAUUUAAAGGACUAUGGGUAAAUCCCCAUGUACACUUGGCUGUGUGAAAAUACAUAAAAUCAAAAGGAGCAAAUUAAGCAUAAAAUUGAGAAAUAACAUGAGACUAAGUUAUCAGCAUGGGUGCACUGGCAUCUUUGGAGCUUUGGCUCGGAGAAAUGAGCCUUCUGGGAAACUGGCAUUGCCCUUGGGUGGAGAAGACUCUUGGCUUUAAUGUUACAACAAAAUGGUAUCACAAGUAUCAAAUCAUUGUACUUCACAGCAUCCUUGCAGUUCUGAGUAUGAACUAGACCCUGUCCUCAUCAGAUACAUUAGGUUAGCAUGUUUUACUGACAGCUUUCCCUGCCCUACCUUUAAUCCUAAGCUUAAUGUUUUUUGAGAUUCAAUACCCAACUGUUGACAACAUGAACCUGUGUCUACAAGUACAAGAGGCAGACAAAUGUCUAUGGAAUGAGAAACCUCAUUACAAAUUUAAGGUGACUAUGUGGUAGCUAUGGCAUGAAAAAAGAACCAACUAUAAAUCAAUAAUGAAAAAUUUGGAAUGAGUAAUUGUUAUUUAUAAUGAGGUACAAUAUUUAAUUGACAACUAUGAUGUCAUCAUUUUGGGGUGUGUGUGUGUGUGUAUGUGUGUGUGUGUG
rnacentral:lncRNA from 1 species